CUAAGAAUAUUCCGCAAUGGGGGAAACCCGUGACGGAGCGACGCCGCGUGGAUGAUGAAGGCCGGAAGGUUGUAAAGUCCUUUUGGGCGCAAAGAAUAAGUACGCGAGGAAAUGCGCGUGCGGUGACGGUAGCGCCUGAAUAAGCAACGGCUAAUUACGUGCCAGCAGCCGCGGUAACACGUAAGUUGCGAGCGUUGUUCGGAAUUAUUGGGCGUAAAGGGCAUGUAGGCGGUCGUGCAAGCUUGGUGUGAAAUCCCGGGGCUUAACUCCGGGACUGCGUUGAGAACUGCACGGCUAGAGUAACUGAGGGGCAGCCGGAAUUCCAGGUGUAGGG
rnacentral:rRNA from 1 species